UUAUGGGAAUAAUCUGAGAGAGAAGGAGAGAGAAAAUGGAUGAUGUAGGUGACUGAGCCUCCUCUUAAAAAAGGAAUGGAGGCUGGAUGGGUACAGAGUGACUGGCUUCAGAAGACACAAUGAAGGUGAGUUUGAUGCAGAGGGCAGAUGUGGAGGCAGAUGUAGAACGUGGUUGGAACUGGAGGGUAUUAUACUAAGUGAAAUAAGUCAGUCAGACAAAGAGAGAUAUCAUAUGUUUUUACUCAUAGUGAAACUUGAGAAACUUAACAGAAGACCAUGGAGGAAGGGAAGGGGAAAAAAUAGUUUCAAACAGAGGGAGGCAAACCAUAAGAGACUCUUGAAUACAGAGAACAAACUGAGGGUUGAAGGGGGUCGGGGGAGAGGGAAAAAUGGGUGAUGGGCAUUGAGGAGGGCACUUGUUGAGAUGAGCUCUGGAUGUUGUAAGCAAUGAAUCACGGGAAUCUACCCCCAAAACCAAGAGCACGGUGUAUACACUGUAUGUUAGCCAUCUUGACAAUAAAUUAUAUUUAAAAAAAAAAGUCUUUUCAAUUGCUUCUAUUUCUUAGUGACAUAAUAUGCAGUUACCAGCUGAAAAUGAAGAGCAGAGAUGGGUAUUAGUAGUUUGAGGAGAAGGAGAAAUAGUGAAAUAGUCAUUUAGGAGAGAGAGUGAACUGACUGGCUAGGUGCUGUAGGAUUGCUAAGAGCACACUAAAGUUUAGUGGUCAUAAAUCUAAAAUGAAGCCAGUCAGUAUGUGGUGAUUAAUUAAUGCAGGGGAUGAGAAAUGUGGAGUGAGGAAAGGAAAGCACCUAGAAUAGCUCCCGAGUCUUGCCUUGAGCAAUGGUUAUAUAUUGGUGCAUUGAAUCAGGGGAUGCAGGUGAAACAGGCAUAGAGUAGGGAGUAGAGAUAGUGUGACUUCAGUUUUUAAGAUGUUAACUAAAAAGUGCUUAUAGGUUAUGUAUAUGGACUGGUAUUCGGCCAUAAUUUAAAUACGUAAGUUCUCAAAAGCAAAGGAAAAUUUUAGGGUUGGUGAUAUCAAUUCACAUCACCACCACAUGUAAACGUGAAUUAAUUGAAUGCCAUUGGUUAGAUGUAGGGUUUAGAAUGAGCCUCAUUGUGAUGUUUGUUAGUUGUAGAAUGUUUGUGGGGGGCUGAGUUAUUAAGGAAGAAGACAUGAGGAAUGGGGAGGCACAGAGAACUUCACUGUGGAAGAUGCAAACAUAGAGUUUUAGGUAAGGCUAAGAAAACAGAUAGAAGUAAAGUUGAAGAUGAAAACAGAACAGAUUUAUGAAGUUUCAUAAGCAUUCCUAUCAGCACGAAACAGGUGAGGAUCCCACUGGGCACAGGGUAAUCCUUGUGGAUAAAUGGUACAUAUCGAAAAAUCUGUUGACUUAUCAUCUAGCGACAGCUGCCCAACUACCUUUCUCCCUACUGCGAGAGUCCCUGGCUGAAUCAUCAGAAGUUGAUUAAUAAUCAAAAAAGUAGAAUCUGCUAGGGUGUAGGAAAUAGGCGCUCACUUACACAGUACAGCUGAGAACAAAAUUGGCACAAUUUUUUUCUGGACAAGAGUUGGCCUAUAUAUUAGCAGCCUUUGAAAUAUGGUUACUCUUUGACCUUGCAGUUUCACAUUUGUGAAAUUAUUCAGAAGAAAUAAUCAGAUAAAUGUGCAAAUAUAGA